rnacentral:rRNA from 1 species
GUGUCAGCCGCCGCGGUAAUACGUAGGAUGCGAGCGUUGUCCGGAUUUACUGGGUGUAAAGGGAGCGCAGGCGGAUCGGUAAGUCGGUGGUGAAAUCCUCAGGCUCAACCUGGGAACUGCCACCGAAACUGCUGAUCUUGAGUGUGGAAGAGGUCGAUGGAAUUCCUGGUGUAGCAGUGAAAUGCGUAGAUAUCAGGAAGAACACCGAUGGCGAAGGCAGUCGACUGGUCCACAACUGACGCUCAUGCUCGAAAGCGUGGGGAUCAAACAGGAUUAGAUACCCUCGUAGUCC